GUUUGCGUGGUGUAGUCGGUUAUCACAUGUCUCUCACUAAGACAAGGUCUCCGGUUCGAAUCCGGGUGCAAACA
rnacentral:tRNA from 1 species